rnacentral:lncRNA from 1 species
UAAAUUAUAUUAAUUAAAAAAUAUAUGAAUACAUUCAUGGAAUACUACGAGACAGUUGAUACAAUAAAAUACAUGGAAUACAACGAGAUACAUUAAAACACAAUGGAGAAAAAGAUAAUGAAUAUAAUGAAAUAUAUGAAAAUACAACGACGUAUAUUAAAAUAUAUUAACAGAAAAUUCAAGUUGCCCAUCCUCAAAUACUUUAAAAUAUAUUAACAACAAAUUUAAAUUGCUCUGCCCCAAACUUCAUCAUCUUUAUUCAAAAACAACCCUAAUAUCGUUUCGUCUAGAGUCGAAACGCCACUGUUUCUGAGAUGGACCAAAAAUUCGAGUUCCAUCUUGUUCAUUCCCAACUUUAGCUCCAUGUAGGUCUAGUUGCUGUUGUCAUCCUUCAAAAUUCUCCUCCACCAAAUCUAUCAAUAAAGAUAACUUCUUUACUCAUUUUAAACAAAAACAAAAGGCAAACAAUUAAAUGCAAAACAAACUAGGGCAAAAGAACCACUAAGUUCAAUGCAGUGAAUUUCUUGAAAACAACAUUCAUUUGCCGAAGUAUAUAAUAGAUGAACCCUAAAAUUGGAAUUUGAAAAUCGAAUGUUUCGAUUACCUAACGACGGAGGAGAAUCAACGGCAGAGAUGGGUGAGUUGGUGACUUCGAAUUCAGUUCGACCCGGUACGCACCGGGGGGAGAAAGGAAGAGGCACAAAAAUUAUUUCACUCUAUAUUUGAGAGAAUUGUAAUUGUAUUUAUGGAAAAAGACUGAGUUGAGAGAGAGUAG